GUGCUCGCUAUGGCAGCACAUAUACUAAAAUUGGAUCGAUACAGAGAAGAUUGCAUGGCGCCUGCGAAAGGAUGACACGCAAAUCCGUAAAGCGCUCCAUAUUUUU
rnacentral:snRNA from 1 species